UACGUAGGUGGCAAGCGUUGUCCGGAUUUACUGGGUGUAAAGGGCGUGUAGCCGGGCUGACAAGUCAGAUGUGAAAUUCCGGGGCUCAACCCCGGACCUGCAUUUGAAACUGGCGGGCUGGAGUGCCGGAGAGGUAAGCGGAAUUCCUAGUGUAGCGGUGAAAUGCGUAGAUAUUAGGAGGAACACCAGUGGCGAAGGCGGCUUACUGGACGGCAACUGACGCUGAGGCUCGAAAGCGUGGGGAGCAAACAGG
rnacentral:rRNA from 1 species